GCUGUCCUGGACCUGCCAGCACCACAGACACAGUUGCUCCUCCGUGCCUUUAACACCGGGGCAAAGAGAAAGUGGCUAUUUCUACCCGAGUAGCUAGGACUAC
ensembl:snoRNA